CCAAUAGCGUAUAUUAAAGUUGUUGCAGUUAAAAAGCUCGUAGUUGAAUUUCAGGCCUGGCUGGACGGUCCGCCCUUCGGGUGAGUACUGUCUGUGGUCGGGUCCUACCUUCUGGCGAAGCGUCAUGGCCUUAACCGGCCGUGGCGGGGAACCAGGACUUUUACUGUGAAAAAAUUAGAGUGUUCAAAGCAGGCAAUCGCUUGGAUACAUUAGCAUGGAAUAAUGGAAUAGGACAAUGGUUCUAUUUGUUGGUUUCUAGGACCGUUGUAAUGAUUAAUAGGGAUAGUUGGGGGCAUUAGUAUUCAAUUGUCAGAGGUGAAAUGCUUGGAUUUAUUGAAGACUAACUACUGCGAAAGCAUUUGCCAAGGAUGUUUUCAUUAAUCAAGAACGAAAGUUAGGGGAUCGAAGACGAUCAGAUACCGUCGUAGUCUUAACCAUAAACUAUGCCGACUAGGAAUCGGGCGAUGUUGACAAAAUGACGCGCUCGGCACCUCAUG
rnacentral:rRNA from 1 species